rnacentral:lncRNA from 1 species
AUGGACAUUUGGGCUCUGGAAGGCCACCAAAGGAAGGCCACCAAAAAUUCAGAGAUUUCCAUACCCAACUAUAACAUCUUCCGUCAAGAUAGAACUGCCAAAGGGGGAGGAGUUGCAGUUUACUGCAGAGAUAGCCUGCAAAGUAAUGUCAUACUUUCCAGGUCCAUACCCAAACAGUUCGAACUACUAAUUUUGAAAAUUACUCUCUCCAGAAAUAAGUCUCUCACGGUUGCCGCCUGCUACCGACCCCCCUCAGCUCCCAGCUGUGCCCUGGACACCAUUUGUGAAUUGAUCGCCCCCCAUCUAGCUUCAGAGUUUGUUCUGUUAGGUGACCUAAACUGGGAUAUGCUUAACACCCCGCCAGUCCUACAAUCUAAGCUAGAUGCCCUCAAUCUCACACAAAUCAUCAAGGAACCCACCAGGUACAACCCUAACUCUGUAAACAAGGGCACCCUCAUAGACGUCAUCCUGACCAACUGGCCCUCCAAAUACACCUCCGCUGUCUUCAACCAGGAUCUCAGCGAUCACUGCCUCAUUGCCUGUAUCCGCUACGGAGCCGCAGUCAAACGACCACCCCUCAUCACUGUCAAGCGCUCCCUAAAACACUUCUGUGAGCAGGCCUUUCUAAUCGACCUGGCCCGGGUAUCCUGGAAGGACAUUGACCUCAUCCCGUCAGUUGAGGAUGCCUGGUCAUUCUUUAAAAGUAACUUCCUCACCAUUUUAGAUAAGCAUGCUCCGUUCAAAAAAUGCAGAACUAAGAACAGAUACAGCCCUUGGUUCACCCCAGACCUGACUGCCCUCGACCAGCACAAAAACAUCCUGUGGCGGACUGCAAUAGCAUCGAAUAGUCCCCGUGAUAUGCAACUGUUCAGGGAAGUCCGGAACCAAUACACGCAGUCAGUCUCCAAUCGACAUCUCCAAUCGAAAAUCAAAUCAAGAGUCGGCUUUCUAUUCCGCAACAAAGCCUCCUUCACUCAAGCCGCCAAGCUUACCCUAGUAAAACUGACUAUCCUACCGAUCCUCGACUUCGGCGAUGUCAUCUACAAAAUGGCUUCCAACACUCUACUCAGCAAACUGGAUGCAGUCUAUCACAGUGCCAUCCGUUUUGUCACUAAAGCACCUUAUACCACCCACCACUGCGACUUGUAUGCUCUAGUCGGCUGGCCCUCGCUACAUAUUCGUCGCCAGACCCACUGGCUCCAGGUCAUCUACAAGUCUAUGCUAGGUAAAGCUCCGCCUUAUCUCAGCUCACUGGUCACGAUGGCAACACCCAUCCGUAGCACGCGCUCCAGCAGGUGUAUCUCACUGAUCAUCCCUAAAGCCAACACCUCAUUUGGCCGCCUUUCGUUCCAGUACUCUGCUGCCUGUGACUGGAACGAAUUGCAAAAAUCGCUGAAGUUGGAGACUUUUAUCUCCCUCACCAACUUCAAACAUCAGCUAUCUGAGCAGCUAACCGAUCGCUGCAGCUGUACAUAG